CGAGCGGUAGAGAGAAGCUUGCUUCUCUUGAGAGCGGCGGACGGGUGAGUAAUGCCUAGGAAUCUGCCUGGUAGUGGGGGAUAACGUUCGGAAACGGACGCUAAUACCGCAUACGUCCUACGGGAGAAAGCAGGGGACCUUCGGGCCUUGCGCUAUCAGAUGAGCCUAGGUCGGAUUAGCUAGUUGGUGAGGUAAUGGCUCACCAAGGCGACGAUCCGUAACUGGUCUGAGAGGAUGAUCAGUCACACUGGAACUGAGACACGGUCCAGACUCCUACGGGAGGCAGCAGUGGGGAAUAUUGGACAAUGGGCGAAAGCCUGAUCCAGCCAUGCCGCGUGUGUGAAGAAGGUCUUCGGAUUGUAAAGCACUUUAAGUUGGGAGGAAGGGCAUUAACCUAAUACGUUAGUGUUUUGACGUUACCGACAGAAUAAGCACCGGCUAACUCUGUGCCAGCAGCCGCGGUAAUACAGAGGGUGCAAGCGUUAAUCGGAAUUACUGGGCGUAAAGCGCGCGUAGGUGGUUUGUUAAGUUGGAUGUGAAAUCCCCGGGCUCAACCUGGGAACUGCAUUCAAAACUGACUGACUAGAGUAUGGUAGAGGGUGGUGGAAUUUCCUGUGUAGCGGUGAAAUGCGUAGAUAUAGGAAGGAACACCAGUGGCGAAGGCGACCACCUGGACUAAUACUGACACUGAGGUGCGAAAGCGUGGGGGAGCAAACAGGAUUAGAUACCCUGGUAGUCCACGCCGUAAACGAUGUCAACUAGCCGUUGGGAGCCUUGAGCUCUUAGUGGCGCAGCUAACGCAUUAAGUUGACCGCCUGGGGAGUACGGCCGCAAGGUUAAAACUCAAAUGAAUUGACGGGGGCCCGCACAAGCGGUGGAGCAUGUGGUUUAAUUCGAAGCAACGCGAAGAACCUUACCAGGCCUUGACAUCCAAUGAACUUUCUAGAGAUAGAUUGGUGCCUUCGGGAACAUUGAGACAGGUGCUGCAUGGCUGUCGUCAGCUCGUGUCGUGAGAUGUUGGGUUAAGUCCCGUAACGAGCGCAACCCUUGUCCUUAGUUACCAGCACGUAAUGGUGGGCACUCUAAGGAGACUGCCGGUGACAAACCGGAGGAAGGUGGGGAUGACGUCAAGUCAUCAUGGCCCUUACGGCCUGGGCUACACACGUGCUACAAUGGUCGGUACAGAGGGUUGCCAAGCCGCGAGGUGGAGCUAAUCCCACAAAACCGAUCGUAGUCCGGAUCGCAGUCUGCAACUCGACUGCGUGAAGUCGGAAUCGCUAGUAAUCGCGAAUCAGAAUGUCGCGGUGAAUACGUUCCCGGGCCUUGUACACACCGCCCGUCACACCAUGGGAGUGGGUUGCACCAGAAGU
rnacentral:rRNA from 1 species